GAUGAACGCUAGCUACAGGCUUAACACAUGCAAGUCGAGGGGUAACGAGAGGAAAGCUUGCUUUCCUUGUCGACGACCAGCGCACGGGUGAGUAACGCGUAUCCAACCUGCCCCCAACUAGGGAAUAACCUUGCGAAAGUAAGACUAAUACCCUAUACUUUCCUCAGAUGUCAUCUGACGAGGAAUAAAGAUUUAUCGGUUGUGGAUGGGGAUGCGUCUGAUUAGCUUGUUGGCGGGGUAACGGCCCACCAAGGCAACGAUCAGUAGGGGUUCUGAGAGGAAGGUCCCCCACAUUGGAACUGAGACACGGUCCAAACUCCUACGGGAGGCAGCAGUGAGGAAUAUUGGUCAAUGGGCGGAAGCCUGAACCAGCCAAGUAGCGUGCAGGAUGACGGCCCUAUGGGUUGUAAACUGCUUUUAUACAGGAAUAAAGUUAGCCACGUGUGGUUAUUUGUAGGUACUGUAUGAAUAAGGACCGGCUAAUUCCGUGCCAGCAGCCGCAGUAA
rnacentral:rRNA from 1 species